rnacentral:tRNA from 1 species
GCAGUCGUGGCCGAGUGGUUAAGGCGUCUGACUCGAAAUCAGAUUCCCUCUGGGAGCGUAGGUUUCGAAUCCUUCCGGCUGCG